CCUACGGGUGGCAGCAGUGGGGAAUAUUGGACAAUGGGGGCAACCCUGAUCCAGCAAUUCUGUGUGCACGAUGAAGGUCUUCGGAUUGUAAAGUGCUUUCAGCAGGGAAGAAAAAAAUGACGGUACCUGCAGAAGAAGCGACGGCUAAAUACGUGCCAGCAGCCGCGGUAAUACGUAUGUCGCGAGCGUUAUCCGGAAUUAUUGGGCAUAAAGGGCAUCUAGGCGGCCGGAUAAGUCUGGGGUGAAAACUUGCGGCUCAACCGCAAGCCUGCCCUGGAAACUAUGCGGCUAGAGUACUGGAGAGGUGGACGGAACUGCACGAGUAGAGGUGAAAUUCGUAGAUAUGUGCAGGAAUGCCGAUGAUGAAGAUAGUUCACUGGACGGUAACUGACGCUGAAGUGCGAAAGCUAGGGGAGCAAACAGGAUUAGAUACCCCAGUAGUC
rnacentral:rRNA from 1 species